rnacentral:rRNA from 1 species
AGCGAACGCUGGCGGCAGGCCUAACACAUGCAAGUCGAACGGCUCCUUCGUGAUUGGUUGCGGUCGGGUGAGGAACAUGUGGGAACGGGCCGUUUUGCUUGGGACUACUCAGGUACACGUGGGCUAAUGCCGGGUGAGUUCCGCUGGUGAAAGAUUUGACGUCCUUGUAGCGGCACGCGUGUUAUUAGCCGGGUGGUGAGGUAACGGCCCACGAAGGCGAGGAUCAGUAGCUGGGUUGAGAGGAUGAUCCGCCACACUGGGACUGAGACACGGCCCAGACUCCUACGGGAGGCAGCAGUGGGGGAUCUAGCGAAAUGGGGGAAAGGCUGAAGCAGCUAUGCCGCGUGAAUGAUGAAGGUCUUAGGAUUGUAAAAUUCUUUCAGCGGGGACGAUAAUGACGGUACCCGAAGAAGAAGCUCCGGCUAACUUCGUG